GAAGAAGAAGAAGAAGAAAAAGAAAACGAGGGAAAAUAAGCAGGAAAAGGUAAACAAGGAGGAAAAGGAAGCGUGGAAAAAUAACUUGACCAAGCUGAAAAUGAAUCACCUUGACCCCGAGGAUGCCAUAUUCCUGGUUGAUGCGUUCCUGGAUGAGUGCAAGGUGGAUCAGCAUGGACAAACUAAAGGAGGGUCAAAACAAUCCACAAAGCUGUGUGUUUGGCUCGAUGAGGACAAAGAUGGUCAUCCUCUGCCAAAAAGAUGUAGAGCUGGAGAGAAACGAAAGCGAGAUUCAGCUACUGUUUCUUCAGCAAGCAUUAAAAGCGUGUCCUGUGCUCCGUCUACCAGCACAACUGAAGACACUGUGAUCAUCGAAAAUUUUGGUUUUUUUCCCUUAAUACUUGUUUCCUUAUUUGUUAUGUGGUAAUUGCCCAGAUUUAACAUUGCCUUCUUCCCUUUUAAUUUUCAGACUCCCUCAUUCAAGAUGUCCGAGACCUCUUGGGAAGUGGUGCUGAACAACCUUUCCCCUCAGACUGGAGGAACAGGCAAACUACCUCUCUGGAGAAUUGGACAGUAAUGAGGCCCUUCAUGGUGAACAAUAUGUUGUCAUCUGAGAAGCCCAAGGAGGGGGUUUGCCAUCACUGUGGACACAAGGCUGCAGUAGUGAUGUGUAGGGACUGUUUACCGCGAUCACUCUACUGCACAGCCUGUGACCUUUCCACACAUGAGGCCCUGGUGCUUCAUAACAGAGCAUCCAUGGUGGAGGGGUUCUUCAGACACCUGCCGCCAUCCACUUUUGUUCAGCACAUGGGAGGGAAAUUCUCCUAUCAUGAAAAAGAUUGCAUGUUACCAAUCGUUCCUCCCUGCUGCGACUGCUCCACUGGGCAAACAAGCUUUUCCAAGGGAAAGCCAGUUAUUUUAAUUGGAAUGAAUGGAAGAUACAACCUCUUCCUUCCAUCAGUAAACUGCUCCUGUGGAAAAACUUUGCCAGUGACCAUAAGUGAUCUGGUUGAAAGUGGUUACUGGCCAGCCACUGUCAAUUUUGAGACCUUGUACUUGGUGGACUUGUUCACCACGUAUGAGGAUCUAAAAAUCACUGCCCCAGGGAUGUCGAGACAAGCUUUUGUCAGCAUGCUCAAAUGUCGUACAAAACUCUUCGGGCGAGUGAGUGGACUCAUCAUUUAGUUAUCUUGUUUGGAUCACCUUUUAAAUAACAGAUUCAUUGUUAGGACUUGUUGUUGCAAUCCCCAAAGUUUCAGCACAUACUUCUUGACAGAGCCCUUUCUUCGUCAUGACCACAGUCUAAAGCCAACCUUCAAAACUGUUUUGUUUUUUCACUUUUGCUCUAAGAGUGGUAAGAUCUGUGGGGACACAAUGCAGAGGGCCUUCCUCGAAUGGGCCUAUGCCAAAUUUGAGGUAGACAAGCUGUCUCAGGUCCAGCAUUUUCAGUGCCCUGCAUGCACACCCUCCAUGUUGGCAAUUGCAGUGGAUGGGAACCGCAAAUUAUAUCGUUUCAAAAGCCAACCAGGGUGUGUAACAUUCAUGUACAAUGAAAUGCUAGUGAGCCACAAAUUACUUUUAUACACUAAAUUUAACCCACAUCUAUAUAUUUCUUUCAAGGCCUGAUGGGUUUUUUUUUGAUGGAGUCUUUUUGGCCAAUGAUGCUGAGGUGUCCUCCUUUGUUGAUUACAUCCAUGGAACAACUGGACAUAAUCCAGGGAAAGGGAGAUGUGGUGCGGGUCAGUGGACUGCAGCACGAGAGUCUGCCAACAAGUCUGGAAGCAAACUAGACGAGGAAGGUGUUGAAGUUGCUGUCUGCCGUCAUGGGGUUUUGCUGAAGGGACUGAAUAUGUUCCGUGGAGAAAUAUUUGCAUACCCAUUAUAUCUCCAGAAACAGCUAGCUUCACAGACCGUCCAGUUUUUUUGCUCUGAUGUGGUCUGCAAAUAUUGGCCAUAUCUGCAGAAAGUUGUGGACCACUGUCCAGAGUUGGAGGACUUGCUGAACAUGCGCCCAUUUCUCUCCAUCAUGCAUGCAAAAGCGCAUUCAUGGAUGUGUGAGUUAAAAUGGGGGGGGCGCAAUCAAGAAGGAGCUGGAACAACAAUCGGGGAGGAGGUUGAACAGGUUAACAGCUUCCUCUCUCGAGCAGCCAUAUGUUCCAAGUACAUGUCAAAAGCCGGUAAGCAUUUUUCAUGUAAAGUUGUGUCCAAACUGAGACCAAGUGGUUUGAACACUGAUGCUCGGCCUUUGCAUUUUAGAGUUCCAUGCAUAGGUGCUCCCUUAGAAAACAACUGUCUAGUCAGCAC